GGGUGAGUAACACGUGAGUAACCUGCCCUUGACUCUGGGAUAAGCGUUGGAAACGACGUCUAAUACCGGAUACGAGCUUCAGCCGCAUGGCUAGGAGUUGGAAAGAAUUUCGGUCAAGGAUGGACUCGCGGCCUAUCAGCUAGUUGGUGAGGUAAUGGCUCACCAAGGCGACGACGGGUAGCCGGCCUGAGAGGGUGACCGGCCACACUGGGACUGAGACACGGCCCAGACUCCUACGGGAGGCAGCAGUGGGGAAUAUUGCACAAUGGGCGCAAGCCUGAUGCAGCAACGCCGCGUGAGGGACGACGGCCUUCGGGUUGUAAACCUCUUUUAGCAGGGAAGAAGCGAAAGUGACGGUACCUGCAGAAAAAGCACCGGCUAACUACGUGCCAGCAGCCGCGGUAAUACGUAGGGUGCAAGCGUUGUCCGGAAUUAUUGGGCGUAAAGAGCUCGUAGGCGGUUUGUCGCGUCUGCUGUGAAAACGCGAGGCUCAACCUCGCGCCUGCAGUGGGUACGGGCAGACUAGAGUGCGGUAGGGGAGAUUGGAAUUCCUGGUGUAGCGGUGGAAUGCGCAGAUAUCAGGAGGAACACCGAUGGCGAAGGCAGAUCUCUGGGCCGUAACUGACGCUGAGGAGCGAAAGCGUGGGGAGCGAACAGGAUUAGAUACCCUGGUAGUCCACGCCGUAAACGUUGGGAACUAGAUGUAGGGACCAUU
rnacentral:rRNA from 1 species